UACGAAGGGGGCUAGCGUUGCUCGGAAUCACUGGGCGUAAAGCGCACGUAGGCGGAUCUUUAAGUCAGGGGUGAAAUCCCAAGGCUCAACCUUGGAACUGCCUUUGAUACUGGGGAUCUCGAGUCCGGAAGAGGUUGGUGGAACUGCGAGUGUAGAGGUGAAAUUCGUAGAUAUUCGCAGGAACACCAGUGGCGAAGGCGGCCAACUGGUCCGGUACUGACGCUGAGGUGCGAAAGCGUGGGGAGCAAACAGG
rnacentral:rRNA from 1 species